rnacentral:rRNA from 1 species
GACGAACGCUGGCGGCGUGCCUAAUACAUGCAAGUCGAGCGAAUGAAUGGGAGCUUGCUCCUGCUCGUUAGCGGCGGACGGGUGAGUAACACGUGGGCAACCUGCCUGUAAGACUGGGAUAACUUCGGGAAACCGGAGCUAAUACCGGAUAGUUUCUUUCUUCACAUGAAGAAGGCUGGAACGACGGUUUUGCUGUCACUUACCGAUGGGCCCGCGGCGCAUUAGCUAGUUGGUGAGGUAAUGGCUCACCAAGGCGACGAUGCGUAGCCGACCUGAGAGGGUGAUCGGCCACACUGGGACUGAGACACGGCCCAGACUCCUACGGGAGGCAGCAGUAGGGAAUCUUCCGCAAUGGACGAAAGUCUGACGGAGCAACGCCGCGUGAGUGAAGAAGGUUUUCGGAUCGUAAAACUCUGUUGUCAGGGAAGAACAAGUACCAGAGUAACUGCUGGUACCUUGACGGUACCUGACCAGAAAGCCACGGCUAACUACGUGCCAGCCGCCGCCGUAAUAC